AUAGGCCCAAGCCCAUCACCAAAGAAACACCCCAUCCAAUUAGAUCGUCACUUCAUCUUCCUGAUAUCACUGCGAUCUUCCCGAUGAAGUCUCGGCGACGUAGAGCAGUAACGUCUCUCCUUUCAAUUAAUCACAUCUUUACUCCAACUUUUAUCGCUUGAUCCAAACCGCCUAAUUAAUGCAAUAAAAGUACCUCUUUGUCUUCCAUAGUAACCGAUUGAAGGCUUCCCUAUAAAUAUCGGUAUCUUCCUGCUACGAUGAGCGCACCUCACACAAUAUCAAACAGGAUUCUAAUUUCCAGCAAUCGAUAUCCAUGUCUUCAUACACUCUCCUGCUGUGCCACCGUUUCUUUUUCAUGCAUGUACAAAGCAAAGCGUAGUCACUGGCUGCUUAGUUCCAAGUUAGUAGGUUCGACAAAAGCUUCAACCGUUUGCAUAAAUGGCGAUUCUUUUAGGCAGAUCCUGCGGUGAAUUGUUUUUAACGUAUCAAUGACAUAGGUGUCUGAAUCAGAAACUGUUAAAUCUAUACUCUGCUAUAUCAUGCUCUUCACAACAUCUCUUUUAUACUCCUGUCAACGGGCAAGUAACUAUUUUUGAGUUCUUCACAUCUUUAACCUCCAUCUGUUUUUUUAUCACUGAACCUGCCUCUGUCUUAGGUUAGUCUUAUUGUUCUAGAUUAUUCCAUUCAUGUAAGCUUUUGAAUGGGUUUUGUCUUAUUGGAUUCAGGGCAUUAUUGAAUUUGUUACUGGUCUAUCAAAAAUGUCGUGUUAUUGGCUGCUUUAGAUUUAACUUAAUUUGACAUGGACUGGUGUUUGAUCUUGAAAGGGAAAUCGACAAAAUUUAUAAAGUCUAAGAACCAUGUAGCUUUGAGAGGAGAAGCAGCAUUAAGGGCAACACUGCCAAAGGAAGCUAAGAACAAUGCAGCCAUAAGGUCAAAAGCAAACACGUUGGAGGAGCUUUCUCUAUGAAAAGAAAAGGCUCGCUUUCUGGGUUUCGUUUUUUCCGGUGCUAAUGUAUUCAAACAGGAGAGUUUAGAUCGAAAGCUUCUUACUCCCGUUCUGAAGUUUGCUGCUGUUGCUACGCUUCAUUUCUUUGUUUAUGACAGGUAUUUGUAUGGACUAGAAAGGAACUCUAGAGAGGUGACAGCAUUACAAAAAUACUGUUUGGACCAUUGGCAUCAUCACAUUUCACGUCAGUCUUAGUAACAAUGAUGUUAUCGUAGGGUGAGAUCGAGUUUAGUACUUUAGCCCCAUCCUUUGUGUGCCACCAGUCUCACCCAUGGGAAGGAUGACGUAGUUAGUCACAAUACAAAGAACAUAAGGCUCUAUGUAAAACGGGUUUUCAUUCAUAUGACUGACCGGGGAGGUGGUGAGAGAAGUUUCUCUUUGGUGUGGCCUUUCAAGAAAUCUGUAUUUCUAUUUUGUAGUGAUAUCAAUUUUAAUGCAAAGCCUUCAACAUA